ACGAAUGUAUUUUGUCCUCUCCGACUACUCGUAUCAGCUUUGUGAUUUACUAACGGAUGACACAGUGAAUUUUGUUAUUUUUCUGUGCAGGCUAAUAUAAAUGGCACGCUCAGGUCUCAGGAGGGAGCACAAGUAGCUAGCGCUCUUCUUUUGAAAGUAACCUUGGCUCUGUGUGCAACCGGUCGGGAGGUACAGAGGGAACUGGACACAUACUCAAUAUACAGAAACGCGCUUGCCACAUUUAUUUGUACUUAACACGAUUGGGUUGUGCCUUUCAAGGACAACUGGAUCUAGUAACAGGUGAAGCAGACAGAAAGGGGAUGUGCAAUGGCAUCGGUGCGGGUGGCUGUCCGGCUCAGGCCUAUGAACAGACGGGAGAAGGAUUUGACUGCCAAAAACAUAAUUGAAAUAAAAGGGGACAAGACCACCAUUACAAACUUGAGGAUACCAGAUGGCAUUUCCGGCGAUUCGAUGAGGGAGAGAAAAAAAACCUUCACCUAUGACUUCUCCUAUGAUUCCGCCGACAGUAAAAGCAACACUUUUGUCUCUCAAGAAAAGGUGUUCAAAGACCUGGGCUCAGAUGUCCUCAAGGCUGCGUUCCAAGGCUAUAACGCCUGCAUCUUCGCCUACGGCCAGACCGGCUCGGGGAAGUCCUACACCAUGAUGGGAAAUCCAGGAGAUGCUGGUCUCAUUCCACGGAUAUGUGAGGGUCUGUUCAGCCGGAUUGCUGGGAUGACUCGUUGGGAUGAGGCCUCAUUCCGCACCGAGGUCAGCUACCUGGAGAUUUACAAUGAACGUGUCAGGGACCUGCUCAGGAGGAAGUCUACCGAAACCUACAACCUGAGGGUGAGGGAGCACCCAAAAGAUGGACCCUACGUGGAAGACCUGUCCAAGCACUUGGUGCAGAACUAUCAUGACGUGGAGGAGCUGAUGGAGGCGGGCAACAUCAACCGCACCACAGCCGCCACGGGCAUGAACGACACCAGCAGCCGCUCGCACGCCAUCUUCACCAUCAACUUCACCCAGGCUAAGUUUGAUGCAGAGAUGCCCUGCGAGACGAUCAGUCAAAUCCACCUGGUGGACUUGGCGGGCAGCGAGAGAGCGGAUGCCACCUGUGCCACGGGAGUCCGGCUCAAGGAGGGCGGCAACAUCAACAAGUCACUGGUCACUCUGGGCAACGUCAUCUCCGCUCUAGCGGACCUGAGCCAGGACGGAGUGAACACCAACUUGAAGAAGAAGCAGGUGUUUGUGCCUUACAGAGACUCUGUGCUAACGUGGCUCCUCAAAGACAGCCUGGGAGGCAACUCCAAGACCAUCAUGAUCGCUACCAUUUCACCUGCUGACGUCAACUACGGCGAGACGCUGAGCACUCUGCGCUACGCCAACCGCGCCAAGAAUAUCAUCAACAAGCCCACUAUCAACGAGGACUUCAACGUCAAGCUCAUCCGAGAGCUCAGGGCUGAAAUCGCCCGGCUGAAGGCCCUUUUGGUCCAGGGAAACCAGAUUGCACUUCUGGAUUCACCCACUGCUCUGAGUAUGGAGGAGAAACUACACCAGAAUGAAGCCAGAGUGUUGGAGUUAACCAAGGAGUGGACUAACAAGUGGAAUGAAACUCAGAACAUUCUCAAGGAAGAAACCCUUGCCCUGAGGAAAGAGGGAAUCGGUGUCGUCCUUGAUUCGGAGUUGCCUCAUCUAAUUGGUAUCGACGACGACCUCCUAAGUACUGGCAUCAUCCUCUACCAUCUAAAGGAGGGCAGGACAUACGUUGGUCGAGACGAUGCGUCGACUGUUCAGGACAUUGUUCUCCAUGGGCUGGACCUGGAGAGUGAACACUGCAUGUUUGCGAACCAGACUGGCACCGUCACCCUGGUUCCACUCAAUGGGGCCCAGUGCUCUGUGAAUGGAGUGCAAGUGACAGAAGCCUCCCCACUAAACCAAGGUGCUGUUGUCCUACUGGGGAGAACCAACAUGUUCCGCUUCAACCACCCUAAAGAGGCAGCUAAACUAAGGGAAAAGAGGAAGAGUGGACUGCUCUCCUCCUUUAGUCCGUCUAUGACCGAUCUCAACAAAUCAUGUGAGAACCUCUCCACAGUAAUGCUCUACAACCCAGGUCUCUUCACUGAAAAGGGGCCCAUCUAUCUCAGGUUGGAAAUUGAGAGGCAGCAACGGGAAGAGCUGGAGAAGCUGGAACACAAAAGGAGGCUAAUUAAGGAGAUGGAAGACAGGCAGAAGUGUGAGAAGGCGGAGCUGGAGCGCCUGCAACACGAGGUGACAUCCCAGCGCAAGGAGUCUGAGCAGGUGCAGCAGCGCAUCCGCCACCAGGAGGAGACCCUCCGCUGCCGCAGCCAGGACAUCGAGAGCCGCCUGCGCGACCUCUUGACUGAGAAGCAGCGCUUUGAGGAGGAGCGCCACCGUGAGACCAAGGAGCUGGAGCUACAGAGGCGGCUGAAGCAGCAGCAGGAGGAGCGCGAGGAUGAGAAGCCACAGGACGAGGAGGCGCGCCGCCAUAGCGAGGCGGCAGAGCGUGCCGAGCAGACAGAGAUUUUCCGUGAGCUGGAACGGCUGAAGCGGGAGAACGUGGAGCAGGCGGUGCGGCUGGAGGCGGAGAGGCGGAGGCUGGAGGAGGGCGAGCUGGAGCAGCUAGGCCUGGUUGGGCGCCUGGAAGAGCAGCUGAGGGAGCGCCACGAGGCGGCGGCUGCCCUGUUGACCCGCGAGGACACCCGGCGACUGGACGAGGAGCGCCGUGCCUUGGCCGAGAUCCGCGAGGCCCUGCUCUGCGCCAAGGAGGCCAGCGGGCGCUCCGACUGUGAAGGAAUGGGUGUGGAGGCUGGGCACGCCGCCCAGGUCCGUUACACGGACUUCAAGGCAGCACAGGUGGAGGAGCUGGGUCAGUUAGAGGAGGGGCUCCUGCAGCAGAAGAAGUGCCUGGAGAAGGAGGUGGCUUCAGAGCGCGCUGCCCUGGCCCUCCUGGUCCACGCCCAUAAGGAGCGGCAGCGAAAGCUGCGAGAGACCCAGGAGAAGGGAGCGCAGGAUGCCUCUGAACUCUCCCAAGAGGAGCAGCGGAUGCACCAGGCCGAGCAGUGCCUCCUCUUUAAGGAGCGCCGGCUAGCCAGCCUAACCGACAGCCUCUUGCCGGCGGUGGCCGAGGAGAGGCAGAGGGCGGAGGAGCUGCUGAAACUCGGAACCUCCACUGGUGCUGACAGCAUAUCCAACAUAUCCCUGGGACUAGACAACACCCUGUACCAGGUGGAGAAGGAACUUGAGGAGAAGGAGGAGCGCCUUACCUCGCACUGCGCCAGUGCCGAGCAGCUUCAGCAGUUGCAGGAGACGUACGAGUUCACGGCCAACGUGGCGCGCCAGGAGGAGAAAGUGCGGCGCAAGGAGAAGGAGAUCCUGGAGUCGCGGGAGAAGCAGCAGCGUGAGGCCCUAGAGCAGGCGGUGGCGCGCCUGGAGAGAAGGCACUUAGCGCUGAGGCGCAGUGUCUCGCUAGUCUCUGAUAGUGAGGAAUCCAGGCGCACGGCCUCCAUUCUGGGGCCCGUGCGGGAACUCGACCAGAAGAGGGUGGAGCGGGAGAUCCAUAAGCUGAAGCAGAGGAUCAGUAAAACUGAGGGAAGUGGAAGGAGUCACACUGGGAGCGGAGAUGAAAAGACCGGUCUCAGCACCCCCCCUGUCAGCCCAAUCCAGAGCCUACCCCCAGUGCUUCCUAUCGCAGAUGACGGGAUAAAUGCAUAUAUUGAGGAGGAGGUUAAGAGAAGGUUACAGAAGCUGAACCGCAUCAAUGGCGACAAAAACAUUGAGCUCUCGCUUUCAUCUGAAUCUCUGCAGGAUGACAACAAGCUGCAAAACCCUGUCAACCCUAGGAAAUUGAAAUAUGAGCGAUUUGUCUCUGUCCCUCUUGGGACCAACUCCGGCUGCCUAAAGGACCCCGUUAAAAUUAGCAUUCCUCGCUACGUUCUCAGAGGGCAAGGGAAAGAUGAGCACUUUGAGUUUGAAAUUAAGAUCACUGUAAUGGAUGAAACGUGGACCGUCUUCAGGAGAUACAGCCGCUUUCGGGAAAUGCACAAAACUCUCAAGAUGAAAUACCCCGAGCUUGCCGCUUUAGAAUUCCCUCCCAAAAAACUCUUUGGAAACCGAGAUGAGAGAAUGGUUGCUGAGCGGCAGAGUCACUUGGAGGUGGGUGCUGCCAUUGACACAUACUAUUGAGUUUCUUAACAGUAGUAUAAUUAAGUUGUAAUGACUGACAGGGUUAUCGAAAUCUGUCAGUCACUGACAAAAGUCUGAAGGUUUGUCAUUCUCAUCCGUCAGUUCAGAGACCUAAUUGUUCCUUGACAGACAUUUUAAAGCAGUAGUCACCAAACUGUCCAUUGUAAGGCAUUCCUAGUCGAUCACCAAACAUUUCUGUAGAAACGCCGAUGUUAAAUCCUUACGCUCAAAUGUUUUGUUUUUAUUAGUCUUGCGCUGUUGGCAGUAGGUGCACUUGCUUCAGAAGCCCUGCACGCUGGGUAGGAAAAGUGUUUCCAUUUUUGAACUUUUAAUUUGUCUGAAGGGAUAAACUCUGCCUACCCUGCAGACCAAGAGAGCUGAAUCAAGUGUGCCUACUGCGCUGGCAAAUCAGAUAGCUCAAAUCACCAUGCCUACAGCUUCCACGAACCCACAGCAAAGUUUGAUACUAGCCUAGGUGAGAGUUCAUAACUUUUAAAACCCUGACUAAAGCGAGACUGUCAAAGAUGCAGCAAGUAGCUGAUGUGUUUCAGUGAGUUCAUGUUUGUUUUAUUCAGCACUGUUUUUAUUUAACACUUUCACUAAACUUAAAGCGUUUCUCCCUACUUCUACUCGCGCUACAACCACCACUGCAGCUGCAAUGAAUGUAUCAACAGGCCUGUGUUUUCAUUAUUAGCAGCUCGUCGUCUUUUUUGUUGUUGUUGAUGUUUUUCGCCCCUUUCUCUAGUCAUAAGAACAACGUGAAUUUGUGCAUGAGGCAGAAAUAAUGUAGUGCGACUUGAGUUUCGCCAUUAGGUGGAAGACUGUCCCCUCUCUCUCUGGUCAGUCUCCCCGAGGAAAGGAGAGAGCAGGGAACUUGAGAGGCAGACCCUCUGCUGCUCUCUCCCUCCAUUGAAACUGACCAUCAGAUGCAGGUACCAUCAGUACAGUAAAAAACUAAAGCUAAUUUGUUGCAAAAUAUUUCAAUUCAUGCUCAGCUGUGUCUUGCAAGUUAUACAACAACUGAUCUUGUUAUCAAUCUCUUGUUAUCAAGGCUUAAGUUUUGAAAUAUAAUAUAGUCUGAAGGCCAAGCAUAGUGAAAUGUGUUGUAAUAAUGUAUUGGGCCUACUGCACAAAGCUCAUUCAUGUUGCGUAGGCUUACAUUCUUUUAAGUCAUGUUUUAAAAAUAAUAAUCUGAGCGGUAGAUCUCUGUUUGCUUUUUGACUACGAAAAGGUUGGUGACCACUGAUUUUUAAAGUGUGUUUGAACUGUAGAUGGCACUGUAGGAAUUAUUAUUAUAUUGAUUGAUAUCCAUUGUAUGGAUAAGAAGAAAUAUUGUUCUAAUGUUGGAUGACUAAGCAGGAGAUAAAUGCUCCAUGCUACUGUCAUUGCUAAUUCACACCCUACUAAUCUAUAGUAUUCUCUCAAACAGACCUAACACACACUCUCUCUCUUCUGGAAAGUACAUUAUCUUUGUUUUCUUUUUGACUUGUGUAAAUUUUACUUUUUACUCUCUUUUUAAAAAACUCUUACUUGUAGUCAUUCCUCACUCUUCUCCGUUUGCUCCUCCAGAAAUAUCUGAAAAACUUCUUCAGGGUUAUGAUGUCGCCAUCCUCGGGCUCUCCACUCCGCACUGAUUCGGACUCUGAGGGUGGUCUGCAGCUGUCCAAGUACACCGUCUGUAACUUCUCCCCGUUCUUCAAGAAGGGCGUCUUUGACUACAGCAGCCAUGGAACUGGUUGAAGACAUUUUAGAUGAGGACGGUUGGAGCUAGCCUUGCCCCAGAUCUUUUUGUGCUGUUUUGCCAUUUCCUAUGGUCAUUGUCAUGCAUUGCCCAUUGGAGUUGCACAAACAGAUCUGUGACCAGGCUACGAUGGAGCAGCUUUAAUCCCAAAACCAAAGUGUGCAGUGCCUUCGCAGGUGCAGUCUAGGCUUUGCAGCACUGCCAGGUGAUAUAUAGACUCAUUCUGACCCUGAGUGCUGCGUUCUGCUCUCGGCCUGGCCCCAUGAUCCUUUACGACAGCAUAGAUGUGGUCAUCUGCAAUGUUCUUGCCUUCCGCUUCAGCCCUUACUGCUCUUCUUUUUGAGAAAUAUCUCCAGAUGAAGAUGCUCAUUAACAGAAGCACCCCAAAACCAGAAACUACACCAACCAACACUUGCUUAGUAUUAUUGUGUUUAGUGUUUGGUCUUCUCUCUCCAGAACAGUUGGUUAUUGGGACACUAUUGCCAUUGUUUGAUGUCACUCUUAGAUAUACUGUUGGUUGCAUGUUGCAGAAGUAGGUCCCAGAGUCUGAGGCUUUCAAACUCACUAUAACCAAUGACUUGUCUAUUAUUGAGCCAUAAUGGUUGCCUGGAUCAGAAAUGUGCUUUCUGUCAUCGACUCCAUCUUGAAAAGUGACAAUGUCUACUGUCUUACAAUCUAUUUCUCUGCUCCAUGUUACGCAACUUCCCACAGGGUGAUUACAGCUCAAGGUUACUGUUUGUUUCUCGGGCAUUGUCUUUUGGCGUAACCCUGUCAUAAGAAACAUCAAUAAAGGGUUAGGAUCCACA